AGGGAGGAGCUCUCCGCGGCAGGGGGCGGAGGGGACGCCCGGGCGACUGGCGUGCCCCGCGCGUCGGCUUAGAGGCUGUGCGGAGGGCGCCUCGCGGCCUGGAGUGCUCAGCCGCACUCGGGCAAGUCCGGAGUAGUUGAGACCCGGGCGCCUCGCGCUCCCGAGAGCCGAACGAGAGGGAUCCUGGCCAUUGAGGCACCCGGGAGUAACCGGGGUGCAGCCUUAGGGUCAGGCUCGGGGUUCUGGUGUGCUGCGCAGGGAGUUUGUAGGUUCCCUGCCGGGUAGAGUUACGCUCCGUGCCUUUGUACAGGGCGAGGAAGGAGCCGGCAUGGCCUGGGCGCUGAAGCUGCCGCUGGCGGACGAGGUGAUUGAGUCGGGGCUGGUGCAGGACUUUGAUGCUAGCCUGUCCGGCAUUGGCCAGGAGCUGGGCGCUGGUGCGUACAGCAUGAGUGAUGUCCUUGCACUGCCCAUUUUUAAGCAAGAAGAGUCCAGUCUGCCUCCUGACACUGAGAACGAAAUCCUACCGUUCCAGUAUGUUCUUUGUGCUGCCACCUCUCCAGCAGUGAAGCUCCACGAUGAGACCCUGACGUACCUCAAUCAAGGACAGUCUUAUGAAAUCCGAAUGCUAGACAAUAGAAAACUGGGAGAACUUCCAGAAAUCAAUGGCAAGUUGGUGAAGAGCAUAUUUCGGGUAGUGUUCCACGACAGGCGGCUGCAGUACACUGAGCACCAGCAGCUGGAAGGCUGGAGGUGGAACCGGCCUGGAGACAGGAUUCUCGACAUAGAUAUUCCAAUGUCUGUGGGUAUAAUUGAUCCCAGGGCCAAUCCUACCCAGCUAAAUACAGUGGAGUUCCUGUGGGAUCCAGCGAAGAGGACGUCUGUGUUUAUUCAGGUGCACUGCAUCAGCACAGAGUUCACUAUGAGGAAGCAUGGUGGAGAGAAGGGGGUGCCAUUCCGAGUACAAAUUGAUACCUUCAAGGAAAAUGAGAAUGGGGAAUACACUGAGCACUUGCACUCGGCCAGCUGCCAGAUCAAAGUCUUCAAGCCUAAAGGUGCAGACAGAAAACAAAAAACUGAUAGAGAGAAAAUGGAGAAACGAACACCCCAUGAAAAAGAAAAAUACCAACCUUCCUAUGAAACAACCAUACUCACAGAGUGCUCCCCAUGGCCUGAGAUUACCUAUGUCAACAAUUCCCCAUCACCUGGCUUCAACAGUUCCCAUAGCAGUUUCUCUCUUGGGGAAGGAAAUGGCUCACCAAACCACCAGCCAGAGCCACCUCCUCCAGUCACUGACAACCUCUUGCCAACAACCACGCCUCAGGAAACCCAACAGUGGUUGCAUCGAAACCGGUUUUCCACAUUCACUAGGCUCUUCACCAACUUCUCAGGGGCAGAUUUAUUGAAACUAACUAGAGAUGAUGUGAUCCAAAUCUGCGGCCCUGCAGAUGGAAUCAGACUUUUUAAUGCAUUAAAAGGCCGGAUGGUGCGUCCACGGCUGACCAUCUAUGUCUGUCAGGAAUCAUUACAGUUGAGGGAGCAGCAGCAGCCACCACAACAGAAGCAGGAAGAUGGAGAUUCCAAUGGUACUUUCUUCGUGUACCAUGCUAUCUAUCUAGAAGAACUGACAGCUGUUGAAUUAACAGAAAAAAUUGCUCAACUUUUCAGUAUUUCUCCUCACCAGAUCAGCCAGAUUUACAAGCAAGGGCCAACAGGAAUCCAUGUGCUCAUCAGCGAUGAGAUGAUACAGAACUUUCAGGAAGAAGCCUGCUUUAUCCUGGACACAAUGAAAGCAGAAACCAGUGAUAGCUAUCACAUCAUUCUGAAGUAGGAGGAGCAUUCCACAUUUGCUGGCUGCUGCUUCUGUCCUCUUGACGACUGCCCUUUGAAGGGGACAUGACCAGACAUUGAAGGGGAAGAAGAGGAAAUGUGAAAAAAUGGUGGAGCUUGCUGGGGGACCGGCAUCUAGCAUCUGAUGUCCCAUCCCAUGAAGUGCCUGUGCUCACCAUCAUUUUUUACUACAGCUCUGUGGAAACUGAUGAGUUAUUCAGUGAAGAAGGGAGGACAUCCCUAAGUAAUGAUAAUCAAGACCUGAAAACCAGACAGGUACCUGUGACCGCGAACCUCAAGCACAGAGUGGGAGGUGGGAGAGGCCAGAGUGUCUCUGACUCCCGGAGCUCCUUGUUCUUGAUUGGUACUCUCACGCUAUGUGUUUAUAAAUGAGUUAUUCCAGCCUCACUUUUCCUCCUGUCUUAUUUUGGCAUAGUGUUCUUUAUGUAAGAUUUGCAAAAAUUACAUUCUUUUCCCAUUCAGACUCACUCAGUGUCUAUGUUCUGCCUUCCAAAUGAACAUGUCUGUGUGCACAUGUCUGUAUGCAUGUGCAGAAUUGUAAAGUAUUAGGGGUCUUUUUGUUUUGUUUUGCUUUUUGAGACAGGGUUUCUCUGCAUAAUCCUGGCUGUCCUGAAAUUCACUCUAGACCAGGCUGGCUUACACAGAGAUCCACCUGCCUCUGCCUCCCGUGCUGAGAUUAAAGGCAUACGUCAUCACCACCUGGCCACAUACAAAGUUUUAUCCAGAAAUUUCCUCAAAUUUUGUUGAGAUGAACAAAGAUAAUAUUAAAAGAUUCUGUAUUGGAUUUGAAUUUAUGUGUGUAUGUUUUUGAAGCAUUUUAUAAAGAUUACAUACACACACACAGUGUUUUGUUGGUGUUCAUUAAAAUCAACCUGUAACGUGGUUUCUAA